UACGUAGGGGGCAAGCGUUGUCCGGAAUCAUUGGGCGUAAAGCGCGCGUAGGCGGCCCGGUAAGUCCGCUCUGAAAGUCCAGGGCUCAACCCUGGAAAGCGGGUGGAUACUGCCGGGCUAGAAUCCGGAAGAGGCGAGUGGAAUUCCUGGUGUAGCGGUGGAAUGCGCAGAUAUCAGGAGGAACACCUGUGGCGAAAGCGGCGCACUGGACCACAACUGACGCUGAGGCGCGAAAGCUAGGGGAGCAAACAGG
rnacentral:rRNA from 1 species